rnacentral:lncRNA from 10 species
GGCAACCCGCUCCGGUGUCCUUCCAUGCUGUGGAGGCUCUGUUGUUUCGCUCUUUCUACUGCUUACUCUUCGGGUCCACACUGCUUUUAUGAGCUGUAACACUCACCCUGAAGGUUUGCAACUUGACUCCUGAAGCCAGCAAGACCACGAGCCCCAGGGAGGAACGAACAACUCCAGACGCGCUGCCUUAAGAGCUGUAACACUCACCGAGAAGGUCUGCAGCUUCACUCCUGAGCCAGCGAGGCCACGAACCCACCAGAAGGAAGAAACUCUGAACACAUCCGAACAUCAGAAGGAACAAACUCCAGACGUGCCACCUUAAGAGCUGUUAACACUCACCGCGAGGGUCCGCGGCUUCAUUUUUGAAGUCAGUGAGACCAAGAACCAACCAAUUCGGGACACAAUACCAACUCUUUCAUGCCAGGAGAAGCCUCCUUAAAAAAUUUCGGUGAUUAACAGCAGCACAUGGGUCAAAAUCUCCUGAAAGUUGAGCAGGGGAGCUGUAGAAGAAUUCCUCCUUUUCUCGCAGAUGAAAUCUUAUGAUAUAGCAGGGGUUACCUGGCCAAGAAGGAACACAGAGGAGAACAAAGAAAAUUCAAGGAACUAAAUUCCUUCUCCACCUCAACCACCAGCAUUGAUACUCCAUCACUUAUGUACUGCAUCAAGCCGUCCUCAGAGGUGAGGAAGGUGCUGUCAAGACUAGAAGCAUGUGUCCCUCUCUCCAUUGCAAGAUGGGACAUAGAGAGGAGAAAAGUGGCAGACAGAAGGCUAAUCUCAACUGGAAACCAGAAGGCUAGAAAUCUUACUGAUGUGAUGUCCAGGGAUACAGAGCAUAUGAAGGAUGCAGAGAGUGGGUCAAAUGGAAGGAAUGUAGCAAAACAUGUAAACUUGAAGUUUUGCAAAAGAACUGGCAAGGGUCAGAUUCAACUAGCACCUCCUGGCUAAUCAAGCAUCAGACCCCCUGCUAGGUGUUUCCCAUGAGAUGCCAUCACACUCACCAAAAAUGGAAAGAGGAGGUUGAGCAGCAGCAAACUCUUGAGCCCUGUAUCCAAGGGAGUCGAAACGGCAAUCCAUAGGAAGUAUCACCUGGCUGUGCAAAUACAAGUACCAAAGAGAGGAAAAAAACAGCACAUCUCUCAUUGCAUGGCUCUUCCCGGCCAAGACACUCUGGAUCUUUCUGGCUGCAGCCGACUGUGAGAGGACCAAGGGUGAAAGCAAAAAGAUCAACUGGGAGACUCCUGAAAUAAUCUUGACAAUGCCUGAGGGUGGCUUAGACCAAAGUAGAAGCAGUGAAGAUAACUGAAAGUUGUUGAAUUGUGGACAGAUUUCAAAGGUAAAAUGGAUAAGAUUUGCUAACAUGUUAAAUGUAGUACGAGUGAAAGAGAGAAUUCAAAGAUGACUCUAAGAUUUUUUUGCCUGAACAACUGGGAGAAUGGAAUUCCCAGGGAAUGAGAUGGAAAAAACUUGAGGUUUGGGGUAACAUUGAGUUUAAUUUUGGACAUAAUAAGUUUGAAAUGUCUAUUAGCCAUCUGUGAAGAAAUAUCAAAUACACCGCUAUAUAUACAAACCUGUGAUUCUGGGAAUAGUUCCAUCCUGAGGGUAUACAUUUGGGAGUCAGCUAUAUGGAGGUGGCAUGAAAUUCUUGAGAUCAGAAGAGAUUAUCCAGGGAGUGAGCACAGAUAGAGAAAGGAGAGGCCACAGGUCUAUGUCCCACUUUUCCAGCAGAACACGGUGCAGUGUUAAACCAUUGCCACACCUCGCCAAUGAAACUAGACCACACUUACCCAACAGCCCAAUUAUUUGGAAAAUUCUUGAAAUACAGAAAGGAGUAGAGCAGCCCCAGGAGCUGUUAAGGUGUCUCAAAAUUUAUUCACUGUAACUCCCAGGAAAGUUCCAUGGGACAUCACCCAGGGCUGGCUGCAGCCUCUCAGAAGCACAUGCAAUGACAGCAGCUAAAUGCGACUGACAAAAGUAAAUCAGACACAGCUUAAAUAACCGUGAAGCCUAAAGUUUGGACUCCCUGGUGCUUAGCCCAUUUCUCUUUCUGAUAAAUAACUCUACCACCUAAUUAUUGAGGUAGCAAAUAGUUGUAGCCCCAUCUGGGCUAGCCUGAACUGUGGGUCUGUUAGUGCUCCUUAAAACUACUAUUUUGUUCAGGGUGUAUUUAGGAGGACUGAGCACUCAGUGGGGAAAGUUGCUAGAGGCAAUACUCAGCUUCUCCUCAACUACCCAAACAAAUCUGCGCCAGCACCAAGCUCACACACUGGUUCAGGACCACCAGCACUCUGCAGGAAACCCUCUUCCCCAAAGAUGGUUCAGUGACCACUUAAUGUUAUUUCAGCAUGACCCUUACAUAUGAUGACCAUGUGAUUAAGUAUCCAACCUGGGAUACUUUCUAGUGUCAAAGGGGGUGCUAUUACAACAGGUAUCAACUGGGACUGUGUAGGCAGGAAAGGAUUCGUAGUCCUAGCAAUUCACACCCUCACUUACUCCACUCCCAUUCCAGGAAGCUUAUGAAGGAACUUCUUCCAAAAACAUAAAAUACUGCCUGAGAUGACUUCUGGUAAAAACAACUUUGUCUGAGACCAUUUUCAGAAAUAGUUUAGCAUGUCUUACAGAUGUGAGGUCCUGUACAAGUUACUGACCACCCAUUCUUUCAUCUAUCUCUGCCUAUCUUUUAUGGAGCACCUGUUCUGUCCCAGGAACAAGGGACACAGAUUUAUACAAGGGAAUCAGUAUUGGUUAAGUUCAUAUUUAAGUAUGUUAACUCACUUAAUUCUCACAAAACCAGUGAGAAGUUAACCCUGCUUGACCAGUGAAUUCAUGAAUGCUCAGGGAGGUUAUGGAACAUGGCUAAAGUCACACAGCUAGCGGGUGGCAGCAGCAGGAUUUUAUUUCAUCACUGGCUGCUAAGCUUGUUCCUCUUUCCUUGUACUACACUGAGGGGAAAGAUGGUGAAAGACUCAUGAAGGACAUGAAAGGAGCUCAUGAAAGAUGAUGAAAGACUCUUGAAAGACAGGAGUCCAUGUCCCACAAGAUGGCUCAGGCUUUGGCACAGUGUUUCUUGCCACUUUGGGAGGCUGAGGCAGAAAAACUGCUUGAGGCCAAGAGUUCGAGACCAGCCUGGGCAGCAAAGCAAGAACCAUCUCUACAAAAAGGAAAAUCUUACUUUAAAAAAAUAUGGUUGAGUCCACGUGAGAGACUACAGUACUUCCUCUUUCCUAUUUCCAUAACAAAUCAUUUCAACAUACAAUCAGAUUAAGAAAACUGCUGUGAAAAUUCACCAUGUGACCCCUUCCCCACCACCCCACUAAAAAUACAGGAAACCCUCCCAGUGCCUCCUAAAUAUUCAUGGAGGAAUCUUUCAGAUGGCACCAUAGGCAGUUUGAUCUGCAAAGACAAAGUCACUAAUAUCACCUUUUAACAGCCAGUAGUUUCUUCCCUAAUUAAGAAUGUACUCUCCCCACCACCAGAUUUCUUCUUAGUCUAAGGUUUCAUCAUCAGCCAGCAUUUGCCAGUGCUGCCCUAAGGCGGCUGGCCAUCAGAGCCACGUGGGAGCAUCACUCCUCAGGCUUCACUGCCAGAAAGGCUGGCACCAGAGUUCUGGGAUUGGACUAGGGAAUCAGUAUUUUUAACAGGUCCCCAAAGUGAUUCUGAUGCAGUCAGACCACAAAUAUUUGGCUUUUGGAAAUUAAUAAGUACCAUUAGAGAGAAAGUUUGUAUGAAAAAAAAAAAUACAUCACAAGUGCGGUUCUUGCUACUUCUGCCAAACUGCCAUUUUCUCCAAGGUACUUCUUUCUGGUAAUGGAGGAAGAGAGCUAAAUCCAAUUAAAACUCUCUGUGAUGCUACUGAAGCUCAGUGUGAUGGUUAAUUUAUGUAUCAACUUGCCUGGGCUGAGGGAUGUCCAGGUGGCUGGUAAGAUAUUAUUUCCAGGUUUGUCCGUGAGAAUGUUUCUAGAAGAGAUUAGCAUGUGAAUCAGUAGACUGCAUAGAUUCCCUCACCAAUGCAGGUGAGCAUCAUUCAAUCUCUUGGGGGUCUGAAUAAAAAUGUGCUCUCUCUCUUUGAGCUGGGACAUUCAGCUUCUUCUGCCCUCAGACAUUGGCACUUCUGGCUCUCAGGCCUUUAGUCUCAGACUGAAUUAUACCACCAGCUUUCCUAGUUCUCUGGCUUACAGACAACAGAUUGUGAACUUCUUGGCCCCUGUAAUAUCAUAAGCAAUUUAUAUAAUAAAUAUCUAUGUCAAUACAGAUAUAGAUAAUUAGUUUUAUUUCUCUAGAGAACCUUAACUAAUACAUCCAUUGAUAUUAAAAUCAUUAUCAACCUGAUAUAUAUUGGUAAAUUAGAGUAUGUCUCAUCAUAUUAUAGCAUAAUGAUAAAGUCUUAAUGCAUAUUCUACUUUUGCAAUUUGGGGUCUAGCUAGCCUUCUCACAACUCGAUGUAGGACAUAGUUUAGAUUCUUGUGUGUAGAUAAGCCCUUGUCACCUUUUCAAAAAGUAUUCUUUAUAGCAUUAAGUAACAGAUGACCUAAAUAUUUUUAAAGUUUAUAAUUUACCUUUAAAUCUGUAAUUUGUACAUUAAAAAGUUCAGGAAUUAUAAAGGCCCUGGAAUUAAUAUAAAAACAAAUAUAUUUUUAGUAUAGGGAACAAUCUCUUAGUUAUGAUUAAAGGCAACCUUAUUUUUAUCUCUCACCAUUUGAUUGCACCUUGAAUUUAUGUGGGCUCUUUAAAGAUGUUAAUGCCUAGACCCUACCCUCAAUGGUUGUGAUUUAUUUGGACUGUAGCAUAGCCCAGGCAUUGGGAUUUUUGAAAGUUUCCCAGGUGACAUUAAUACACAGCCAAGAUUGAGAAGUGUGCUUCGCACACGAUGGAGUGGGAGUACUCUGCAACUGAACCAAGGCUUGGGCAAGUCCCUAACUUCCCAGCAACUCUCAGAGGAUGCAACCUUCUGCUCACCUGUGUAAAGCACAGUCUCAAUGAGGAAGUUUGACAGUCCAGUCUCUUGGAGAAACCCAGCCUCUAGAUUUCUCUAUUUAUUUUUGCUUUUAAUGUCCUCUCCAGCUCACAUGGCUCGGGUGGUGGAGGGGUGGCCAGUGAGCCCAGUCCUCCUGCUGUCUGCUCUCUCUGCUCAUCUGCUCCCACAAUACAGAAUCAGUAUUCUGCUUUGUGAAGGCUGGGCUGGGAGAUAAAGAGGUGUGCAUAAAGAGAAAGAGUUAGCAAAGUUACUUGGCUGGGAAGUUUCUUUGGGCUUUGGGGGCCUACCAGAUGGUUAAAGCUGAAGUCGUGGCUGAGUAGACAGAUGUUAAGCUAUCCCUUUCCUACAUGAGGCUCUUUCAAGGUCUCUUCAGAGAUUUCCUUGUUGGGACUUCCUUCACCUGCAGUUUCCUUGGUUGCAACUCCUUUCCUGGCUACUUUGCAUGUCCAUACUAGCAGUCCCUACUGGCCUCUUUUUUCUGUGGCCUAUUUUCCUCCCUGUUGGUCCCCAGGUAAAAUCUCUUCCCCCGGCACACAUCUGGUCCAGGGAAACACUGGCGCAGCCCUUAGACCAUGCUCUCAGGGCUCUACCUCAGGAACACUUAGCCCUUUCAUUGUUCUUCCCAGUUCCUGGCCCCAAUCAGAUUCAGUGCAUUCUGUUAGAUUUAUCAGGCUUCCCAAAGUAGAGGGCACAUUUCAGAGCCCUCCGGGACAUCUACUUGAAGUCCCUUCACUUUCUCAGUUGGUGUGUUUAGAGCCAAAAUGAAGCCAGUGGGCUGAGAGGUGAGGGUUGGGGCAGGAAGAACAAGGCAGCCUAGUUGGAUAUGAUGUCUCAGGGGAAGAGGUCAGAGUGUAAAGGGGCCUAAUAAGCCAAGGUACCUGCAGGGGUGCCCACUAGAAGGCUUUCUGCAGAAUGCGAUGUGAUCUAAUUAUGAUUCGAAGAAUAGUGUGGACAGUAGGCAGACAAGAGCAGAAUCAGAUAUGAGGCAUCACAGAUAAGACCUGCUCUCAUGGCCCCUGCUGAUGUGUAAGGCAUUUCCCCCGAACCUCUUCUGCAGGUCAAGAAGACACUUUGCUCCUUCCUUUAUCCUAACCCUCUGCCCAAACCUGAGAAAAAUAUGACAGAGGCCCAUUGCAGUUUAGAAGGUCUUUAUACUAACCCCAAGAUUCUCAUUUAGGAAAGAGUCCAUAAUGGUUUCACUGGAGUGAAGCAAAGGCAACUGUACAAAUAUAAUCAGCCCACUGAAGGUUCUGGCCUACAACAUAAGAGUUUCUUCUGUUUAGCACCAUCAAACACUCUCGUGACUGCACAUAUCAAUAACUUUAAGAAGUUACCUUCUCCCCACUUGGACACAGGGUGGGGAACAUCACACACCAGGGCCUGUCGUGGGGUUGGGGGAGGGGGCAGGGAUAGCAUUAGGAGAUAUACCUAAUGUAAAUGACGAGUUAAUGGGUGCAGCACACCAACAUGGCGCAUGUAUACAUAUGUAACAAACCUGCACGUUGGCACAUGUACUCUAGAACUUAAAGUAUAGUAAAAAUAAAUAAAUAGAAGUUACCUUCUCCCUUUUUGGAGGGCAAUUUGACCACAUCUAUUAAAACUUUAAGUGCUCAUAAAAUUUGACCUUGCAAUUUUACAUCUGGCAUCCAUCCUACAGAAACACUGAAGUCUGUGCACAGAGUUACAAACACAAGAACAUUCACUUUGCAUUAUUUGUAAUAGUGAAAAUUGAAAACCUUAAUGUUUCAUCAGUAUAAUGGUUAAUUAAUUCAUGAUAAUCCAUAUUACAGAUAGUUAUGCAAAAGAAGACCAAUUUGAACUCAUGGAAACAGUGACACGAUUUAUGGUUAAGUGGGGGAAAAAACUAGUUUCAGGAUAAUAUGUAUGGCAAGAUCCCACUCUUGGAGAGAAAAAAAGAUAUAUGUGUACAGUGUAUGCACCUGUGUCUGUAAAGGCCCACAACAAAGUCAUCAAACUAUUAACAGCAGUGGCCUUUGAGAAAGGGAGUGUGAGUGGAAUGAAGAGGCCAAAGAGAGAAUACAGAUUGCUCAGCACUUCAUAGUGUGAUUUAAUCUUUUGUAAUAAUAAUGCAUUUGUACAUUUCCUAUGUGACUUUUUUUAACUAGAAAAAAUAAACAACAACAAAAAAAACAAGAAAUACAGAAAUGUGGUUGGCCUAAAAAUCUUGGGUAUUACUUCUUAAUUUUAACAAAAAUGUUCUUACAAUCCUAGUCUGGUUGCUAUUCCAGCCUUUCUAAAUUCCUGACCUUCACUGCUCAUCAAAUUCUAAUUAACCUUGUGGUUCCCCAGAGUCUUGCAGGUGUCCGGACCGGCUGGUGUCUCCUGGAGCAAACCAGCCCUCCUUCUUGUGGUAGGCAACUGCCUGGGUGCUAACUCCUCGGUGACAGCAGUGUAAAUGAUUCCAUUGGUCUUCUAGGAGGCAGGAACUUCACAGACCUCAGUGCAUAAUAACAAAUUCAAUGCUUAACAGGACUUGUCAUGCAUGGAAGGAGCUGCGGUCGCCACCACAGUGGUCACAGGACCACAAGUGUGAAGUGAAGAGCUGGCUCUGACAGUGAUUGCUCUCUCUAAACAGGUCAGGGUUUGUUCUGCCUCAGUACAAACAAACAGUGCCCUCUUCUGCCCAGCAGCAGAACUUCUCUUCAAAACCAUCACCUUGUCAGAGUAUCUGGAACUUUCACCCUGUUAGGUUGUUCACUGCAAAAUGAGCCAAAGAAACUGGAAAAUAACACUGAUGAGGGAGAGGUCAUCUGUCGGAAAGCUGUCACUCUGAUUCUGCCCUAAAUUCAUGUCCCAAUUUUACAAGCAUUCUAUUUUAACCGCAGAGAAGAUGAAAAGAUUUAAAUAAUAGAGUAAGUUACAUCUAUCAAACUGGCCAAAAAAAAAAAAAAUUUAAGUGCUUAAACUUUGUAUUGCUAUGAUAAAAUAUUAUCCAUGGUAUGGAAUAUCAGUUCAAGCUUUCUGAGAAACAGUCUGGCAGCUGGUUACCAUUUUAAAAAUAUCCUUUAUUACAUUUUAGUUCAAUAAUUAUUUAUUUGGGAAUAUUUCAUGAAAAAAAUAGACACAAAGACAAUGAAGUAAUUUACAUAAAGAUGCUUAGAGCCAUGUCAUAUUUCAUUAUUAUAUACUGAAAAACUGGAAAAACUCAAGUACAAAUGGCAAGCAGUAAAUAAAUUGUUAUAUGAAGUACAAUAUAGUAUUACAAUGCUUUACUAUAAAGCCAUUAUGAAUUGUAA